rnacentral:lncRNA from 1 species
AUCUCGGGCCUGCCCAGAGUGCGGGACGCAGGGUGCAGCACCCCGGGGCCUGGCCGGGUGGGGCGACGCUCCCCCCUUCGCAAAGAUAGCCGGCGCUUCCAGGGCCCGCCCACUGCUGGCUCUGCCCCUUCCCUCUCGCCUCCUCCCCUACUUUCCCGAUCCUUUGCUCCUCCUCCUCCUCCUCCUCCUCCUCCUCCUCCUCCUCCUCCUCCUCCUCCUCCUCCUCCUCGUCCUCGUCGUCGUCCUCGUCGGUCUUGCUUCUCCCUUUCUACCUCCUUCCUCCUCUUCUCUCUUUCCCCUCAGACUGAGUAACAUGGAUCCCUCCCCAACUCGGCCACAGGACUGGAGGGAAGGAAAAGUUGAGCUGGCUGGGAGGGCUGCCCAGACCCUCCUCCGUCGUACCGGCGACCCUCGGGAAGUUGGGAUCAGCUCUUAGUUUCCCAUUCCUUGGCCUCCUCAAGGCCCAGUUCGACUCAGGUUUCUCUGGUGCCAAAGCUCUCCCAGGCUUCCCGGCGGCCCACACGCUCUCCCAGGCUGAGGGGGGGGGGGACGGACAGAGUUUGCAGCCUGGGGCAACUGGAUUGAAAACAGGAAUAAAGCACCCACUGGAAGCGGCUCCCUCCCCGACCCGGCCUUUACUCAGCCCGGGCAAGUUAUUCCAAGAUGGGACACCGAACGCUAGCUAGGCCCUUCGAAACUACCAAGUGCUGGGUGGAGAGACACAAUGGAGUACGCCAUGGGAGGCCUGGCCCGGGAGUUCAGAGCCUUUGGCCGAGGGACCUUGGUCAACAUUUCUUGGCACCUCCUACAUGCCAGGCACUGUGCAUGUUAUACAAAUAAAAACAAAGACAAUCCCAGCCCUCAAGAGGCUUACAAUCUAUGGGAGAGACAACAUAGAAAAGAAAGCUGCAGGGCAGGGAGAAGGGUAGACAUGACCCUCCAGGAGGCCACAGGCUCCUCCCACCCCACGCCAAGACAGGAAUGGCCCACUCACAGGGAUGGCUUCAGCACACAGGCCAGGAUUUGCUGCCAAAUGACAUCAACAAGGCCAGAAGCCCUGGUCUACAGCUUGGAGUCCCUGGACCCCUUUGCCUGGCUCCAGGUCUGCCUUCUGCUGCUCUGCUGUCCACACAAAGCCAGGAUGCACUACUGCUUGUCAGGGUUGGCAUCUGGGGAGCGGGUGAGGCCUUGCUGAUAACACCUUGAUGAUAACAGUCCCCUUGCUAGAGAGAAAAAAAACUAAAAGCAAAAAGAAGCCAGUGACCUCUUCCCCCCAUAGGCCCUGGUAACAUACUCACUCUGGAAGGUCCUGUUCUCCCCUCAGACUAUCGAAGCUCCUUUCUGAUCUGCCUUUUUGGCCUGCUCUGGAGACCCCUAAAGCACUGGGGGGGCAGGGCUAGAAAUAUGGAGGAGAGAAAGCCAAGAGGCAAAACUGUCAAAUUCUCCAGGCCAACCCAGCUUUCCAGAAGGCCUGUGGACACUGUCUGGGCCCACUCUCUCUGCUGGAUCCAUCCUUGGACCAAGGCUCCUGGUCUGGCCCUCUGGGGCCAAGAAGAAUCAGGCUGAUGCCUCUUCCACCAAUAAGCCCUUGAGCUUCUCGGAGGUAGUACUCUGAACUAGCUAGCUGGUGCCUGUGCCUCCUUCACCAUCUGAUGUCUCCUGGAACUUGUCACACUCUUCAGGUCAGGGGCCAAAAUGUACUGUUUCUACCCUAAAUAUGCCCAGUCAAUUUCUGCUGCUCAAAGCAUUCCCCUCCUCCUUGAUCAUUUUGGUCCAAGUGUCCUGCAAGCUCUAGGCCCAGCUGGCAGAGGCAGAAGGUCAGCCCUGGCCUCUCUGGUGCCACCGAGGCAGCUGGGCUGGGCCAAGCCCUGGCUUCUCCUCCCAGAAAGCACUAAGCCCUAGUACCCUGCCUGGCCUGGCUUCACAAGGCACUGGCUGUUUCCCGCCUUCUGGAGGGGAGAGGUACCUCAAAAGAACUGGUCAUGGCAGAAGGAUGGGAUGGGGGAAUGGGAAAACACAGUCCUACUCAGACAUAAGCAGGUAUGCAGGAAGCUGCCUCCCAGCCCGGGGGCCCUCCCCUUCAGGUCCUCGAAUCAAUAACCAAUCUCGAUGGCUUCCCAGGCAUAAAUGUUGGACAGUUGCUGGGAGCCACUCCCACCACAGGGUGAGAGGGCAGAAUGGCAUGAGCUCCAGAU